rnacentral:tRNA from 2 species
AUUUUAGUGUAUGUGGCAUACGAAAUUUUGAUUUUCAAGGACUUAGUUAAAUUCUAAGGAGUAUAA